rnacentral:tRNA from 20 species
GGGCCUAUAGCUCAGUUGGUUAGAGCAGAGGACUCAUAAUCCUUUGGUCCCAGGUUCAAGUCCUGGUGGGCCCACCA